rnacentral:lncRNA from 1 species
AAAAAGAGAGAGAUGUGCUCGUGGUCAUUAAUAAAAAAUUAUAGUUAUGUAUAUUUAUAUAAGGGUUCUAUUACACAGUCAACGUUAGCUAUCGUUACUAUUUUAAUUAACAGAUUCUUACGGUCAAACUAAUGACUAUGGUCGCACCUCUUAGGUGCGCCUCCUUACAGCCAGCCAGUUUAAAAAGUUAAAAUAUUGACUAUUACACUAAAGAUGGAACAAAUGAGUAAUAUAUAUAUAUAUAUAUAUAUAUAUAUAUAUAUAUAUAUAUAAAAUGUACUCUUAUAUCUUAACAUAAUAAUAAAAAAAUAAUAUCAAACUUAGAAAUAUUGGAGUAUACUAAACCUAAGAGGUUCGUUCAGGUCUACACCAAAAUUAAUCUCAGCUCUCAAUUAAUUGAAUGAGUUCGGCCACAUAUUUGUUAGUUGGAAUAGUACCUAUAGUUAAAAUUAUCCGAAGAAUAUGACCCAAAAAAAUAGUUUUAUUUAUGUUUAGAAUCAAAAAAAAACUCCGGAAAAUAAAAAGUAGAGUUAAAGAUAUAGAAAACUCUCUUAAUGAAUGGGCAUAACAUAAGUCUAAUUAUUACACCUUAAAAAAAGGUGGUAGAUCUAUAAUAUUAAAAUGUAAUGUAAUACUACUACAUAAAGAUUAUUGAGCAUACUAAUGUGAUGGUAUUAGCCUAUUAGGAGUAGAGCCCAUAAAACAUGUUGCGACAAAGUGCCGG